rnacentral:rRNA from 1 species
AUCAUGGCUCAGAUUGAACGCUGGCGGCGUAGCUUAACACAUGCAAGUCGAACGCGAAAGGGACUUCGGUCCUGAGUAAAGUGGCGCACGGGUGAGUAACGCGUGGAUAAUCUGCCCUUAUGAUCGGGAUAACAGUUGGAAACGGCUGCUAAUACCGGAUACGCUCAAAAUGAACUUUUUGAGGAAAGAUGGCCUCUGCUUGCAUGCUAUCACGUAAGGAUGAGUCCGCGUCCCAUUAGCUUGUGGCGGGUAACGGCCCACCAAGGCAACGAUGGGUAGCCGAUUUGAGAGGAUGAUCGGCCACACUGGAACUGAAACACGGUCCAGACUCCUACGGGAGGCAGCAGUGGGGAAUAUUGCGCAAUGGGCGAAAGCCUGACGCAGCGACGCCGCGUGAGGGAUGAAGGUUUUCGGAUCGUAAACCUCUGUCAGAAGGGAAGAAACUACGUUGUGCUAAUCAGCAGCGUACUGACGGUACCUUCAAAGGAAGCACCGGCUAACUCCGUGCCAGCCGCCGC